rnacentral:RNase_P_RNA from 1 species
UGCAGAAGACGGUGACCGCUGGGAAUCUUUUUUAUAAACAGGUUUUCAGAGGAAAGUCCGGGCUCCUUCGGAAAAGAUGCCGGUUAACCACCGGGCACAAAAUCUGGAAACAGAGUUUGUGACAGAUAGCGCAACAGAAAAUAUACCGCUUCUUUUUUAGAAGUAAGGGUGAAAAGGCGGGGUAAAAGCCCACCGGGCAUACGGUAACGAAUGUCGCAUUGCAAGCCUCAUCUGGAGCAAGGUCAAGCAGUGGUUGCAAUUCCGAUAUGGAAGUUUUUUCUUCCACAACCACGGGUAGAUCGCUUGAAGUACAGGGAAAUCUGUACUCUAGAUAGAUGGUCACGCCAAAAGUUUUUACUUUUGGUUACAGAACCCGGCUUAUUGUCUUCUGCUUUUU